AGAGUUUGAUCCUGGCUCAGGAUGAACGCUGGCGGCGUGCCUAAUACAUGCAAGUCGAGCGAACGGACGAGAAGCUUGCUUCUCUGAUGUUAGCGGCGGACGGGUGAGUAACACGUGGAUAACCUACCUAUAAGACUGGGAUAACUUCGGGAAACCGGAGCUAAUACCGGAUAAUAUUUUGAACCGCAUGGUUCAAAAGUGAAAGACGGUCUUGCUGUCACUUAUAGAUGGAUCCGCGCUGCAUUAGCUAGUUGGUAAGGUAACGGCUUACCAAGGCAACGAUGCAUAGCCGACCUGAGAGGGUGAUCGGCCACACUGGAACUGAGACACGGUCCAGACUCCUACGGGAGGCAGCAGUAGGGAAUCUUCCGCAAUGGGCGAAAGCCUGACGGAGCAACGCCGCGUGAGUGAUGAAGGUCUUCGGAUCGUAAAACUCUGUUAUUAGGGAAGAACAUAUGUGUAAGUAACUGUGCACAUCUUGACGGUACCUAAUCAGAAAGCCACGGCUAACUACGUGCCAGCAGCCGCGGUAAUACGUAGGUGGCAAGCGUUAUCCGGAAUUAUUGGGCGUAAAGCGCGCGUAGGCGGUUUUUUAAGUCUGAUGUGAAAGCCCACGGCUCAACCGUGGAGGGUCAUUGGAAACUGGAAAACUUGAGUGCAGAAGAGGAAAGUGGAAUUCCAUGUGUAGCGGUGAAAUGCGCAGAGAUAUGGAGGAACACCAGUGGCGAAGGCGACUUUCUGGUCUGUAACUGACGCUGAUGUGCGAAAGCGUGGGGAUCAAACAGGAUUAGAUACCCUGGUAGUCCACGCCGUAAACGAUGAGUGCUAAGUGUUAGGGGGUUUCCGCCCCUUAGUGCUGCAGCUAACGCAUUAAGCACUCCGCCUGGGGAGUACGACCGCAAGGUUGAAACUCAAAGGAAUUGACGGGGACCCGCACAAGCGGUGGAGCAUGUGGUUUAAUUCGAAGCAACGCGAAGAACCUUACCAAAUCUUGACAUCCUUUGACAACUCUAGAGAUAGAGCCUUCCCCUUCGGGGGACAAAGUGACAGGUGGUGCAUGGUUGUCGUCAGCUCGUGUCGUGAGAUGUUGGGUUAAGUCCCGCAACGAGCGCAACCCUUAAGCUUAGUUGCCAUCAUUAAGUUGGGCACUCUAAGUUGACUGCCGGUGACAAACCGGAGGAAGGUGGGGAUGACGUCAAAUCAUCAUGCCCCUUAUGAUUUGGGCUACACACGUGCUACAAUGGACAAUACAAAGGGCAGCGAAACCGCGAGGUCAAGCAAAUCCCAUAAAGUUGUUCUCAGUUCGGAUUGUAGUCUGCAACUCGACUACAUGAAGCUGGAAUCGCUAGUAAUCGUAGAUCAGCAUGCUACGGUGAAUACGUUCCCGGGUCUUGUACACACCGCCCGUCACACCACGAGAGUUUGUAACACCCGAA
rnacentral:rRNA from 2 species